AUUGAACGCUGGCGGCAGGCCUAACACAUGCAAGUCGAACGGUAACAGGAAGACGCUUGCUUCUUUGCUGACGAGUGGCGGACGGGUGAGUAAUGUCUGGGAAACUGCCUGAUGGAGGGGGAUAACUACUGGAAACGGUAGCUAAUACCGCAUAACGUCGCAAGACCAAAGGGGGGGACCUUCGGGCCUCUUGCCAUCGGAUGUGCCCAGAUGGGAUUAGCUAGUAGGUGGGGUAACGGCUCACCUAGGCGACGAUCCCUAGCUGGUCUGAGAGGAUGACCAGCCACACUGGAACUGAGACACGGUCCAGACUCCUACGGGAGGCAGCAGUGGGGAAUAUUGCACAAUGGGCGCAAGCCUGAUGCAGCCAUGCCGCGUGUAUGAAGAAGGCCUUCGGGUUGUAAAGUACUUUCAGCGGGGAGGAAGGGAGUAAAGUUAAUACCUUUGCUCAUUGACGUUACCCGCAGAAGAAGCACCGGCUAACUCCGUG
rnacentral:rRNA from 1 species